rnacentral:rRNA from 1 species
AUACGGAGGGUGCAAGCGUUAUUCGGAAUCACUGGGCGUAAAGGACGCGUAGGCGGGUUGGCAAGUCAGAUGUGAAAUCCUACAGCUUAACUGUAGAACUGCAUUUGAAACUGCUAACCUAGAGUAUGGGAGGGGGAGAUGGAAUUAGUGGUGUAGGGGUAAAAUCCGUAGAUAUCACUAGGAAUACCGAAAGCGAAGGCGAUCUCCUGGAACAUAACUGACGCUAAGGCGUGAAAGCGUGGGGAGCAAACAGGAUUAGAAACCCUUUGUAGUCC